UGCCAGCCGCCGCGGUAAGACGGAGGGUGCUAGCGUUGUUCGGAAUCACUGGGCGUAAAGGGCGCGUAGGCGGCCUAGCCAGUCAGAUGUGAAAGCCCAGGGCUCAACCCUGGAACUGCAUUUGAUACUGCUAAGCUAGAGUUCGAGAGAGGGAAGUGGAAUACCCAGUGUAGAGGUGAAAUUCGUAGAUAUUGGGUGGAACACCAGUGGCGAAAGCGGCUUCCUGGCUCGAUACUGACGCUGAGGCGCGAAAGCGUGGGGAGCAAACAGGAUUAGAUA
rnacentral:rRNA from 1 species